UGGGAGGUCGUCUAACGGCAGGACAGGGGCCUUUGGAGCCUCCAAUGAAGGUUCGACCCCUUCCCUCCCAG
rnacentral:tRNA from 1 species